rnacentral:rRNA from 1 species
GUGGGGAAUUUUGGACAAUGGGCGCAAGCCUGAUCCAGCAAUGCCGCGUGCAGGAUGAAGGCCUUCGGGUUGUAAACUGCUUUUGUACGGAACGAAAAGCCCUGGGUUAAUACCCUGGGGUCAUGACGGUACCGUAAGAAUAAGCACCGGCUAACUACGUGCCAGCAGCCGCGGUAAUACGUAGGGUGCGAGCGUUAAUCGGAAUUACUGGGCGUAAAGCGUGCGCAGGCGGUUUUGUAAGACAGAGGUGAAAUCCCCGGGCUCAACCUGGGAACUGCCUUUGUGACUGCAAGGCUAGAGUACGGCAGAGGGGGAUGGAAUUCCGCGUGUAGCAGUGAAAUGCGUAGAUAUGCGGAGGAACACCGAUGGCGAAGGCAAUCCCCUGGGCCUGUACUGACGCUCAUGCACGAAAGCGUGGGGAGCAAACAGGAUUAGAUACCCGAGUAGUCC